UGAAGUAACACGUAUCCAACCUGCCGCUUACUCGGGGAUAGCCUUUCGAAAGAAAGAUUAAUACCCGAUGGUAUAAAGAGUUCGCAUGUUCUCUUUAUUAAAGAAUUUCGGUAAGCGAUGGGGAUGCGUUCCAUUAGAUAGUUGCGGGGUAACGGCCCACCAAGUCUACGAUGGAUAGGGGUUCUGAGAGGAAGGUCCCCCACAUUGGAACUGAGACACGGUCCAAACUCCUACGGGAGGCAGCAGUGAGGAAUAUUGGUCAAUGGACGAGAGUCUGAACCAGCCAAAAGUAGCGUGAAGGAUGACUGCCCUAUGGGUUGUAAACUUCUUUUAUAAGGGAAUAAAGUGAGGGACGUGUCCCUUUUUGUAUGUACCUUAUGAAUAAGGAUCGGCUAACUCCGUGCCAGCCGCGGC
rnacentral:rRNA from 1 species